UUGUGGAAUUAGUUCGAACGAUUAAUUUUCGAAAAAACGAACGUUAUUUAGGGGCUCGCGAAAGUUGACUUUUUAUACGUUCAAAAUUUGGGAAAACUUUCUUCAUGAAAGUUGUAGAGCUCGUCGAUACGAUCGCGUGCAUAUGCGGAACGCAAAAAUCGGAGUUCGUAUGAAUUAGUUAUGAUUUUUUGAAAAAGUUUCCAAUUUAGUAUAAAGCUUCCAUUUUUGGAAAUUUCCAAAAAUAAAAACAGAUUUUUCCAAAAUUGGAAAAUCUGCUGCGAUUUUAGUUCCCCGCCGGAAAUCGCCUCCAAAACUUCGAUCGACGAUUUCUUCCUCCUCCGGCCACCGAUCCUCACCAAACUUCUUCCAUUGGCUUCGUAUGGUCCUUGCGCACCUGUCUGUGGCAGCCUUUCACGGCGGCGCGGCCUGUAGCGGCGGCGGCAAGCCCGGUCCUAUUUAAGCUCGAUUUUGGUCAACGCCGGUUUUCUCCUAGCUCCGGCCACCAAAACUUCCGAUCCUUGGCUCCAUGAACUCCCCUCAACCUGCUGAUCAUCAUACUAGGAGGAUUGCACCUAGAGUGACCGGUUUCACGUUCGUCGGAGCUCGUGGGUUCCCCUUGAUGUUAUUAACAACUCUCUAGAAGGCAUCGAGGCCUGAAAUUGAAGCUUUGACGUCGAAAUCGAGCCUUGCCGGAUUCUGCAAAAUUCUGGAAUUUUUCCGACCACCGAAGCUUUCGAUCGGUAUAUCUCGAGCUACAGACCAUAUUUUUCUGUGAUUCUUGAACCAGUGAGUUCUUCUUGAGUUUCUUAACAACUCUUCAGAAGGAAUCGAAGCCUUAAAUUGACGUUUUUACGUCGAAUUGGAGCUCACCGUUUUCUACAGUUUCUCGCCGGUUUCUGGAAAAUUCCGGCCACCUUCAUACUGUUCAAGGUGAUUGACGAAUCGAGUUGGUGGACGAUUCAGAUGGAUAUGUUGCUUUUAGAAGACGCAGCUGGAAUUGGAGCGGGUAAUCCUACAGGACAGGAGAACCAGGACGGUGAUCGUGCGGUUAAAGCAAUUGUUAGAGUUUUACAGCAAUUGUAAGUUGCGAGGUGUGUUAUGCUCAUUUGAGCUUUACAAUAUUGCUUGUGAGAGUGGAUUGUAAUAAUGAACUCGAAGUUUCGAGAUUUGGAUUUUGUAAUUGUAAUUAUUCAUGUUUCGGAUUUGAAUUUAUUAUUCAAAAUUCGGGGCGUGACA